UACGAAGGUGUCAAACGUUGUCCGGAAUAACUGGGCGUAAAGGGCGCGUAGGCGGCCUGUUAAGUCGAACGUGAAAUCCCCGGGCUCAACCCGGGAACUGCGUCCGAUACUGGCAGGCUUGAAUCCGGGAGAGGGAUGUGGAAUUCCAGGUGUAGCGGUGAAAUGCGUAGAUAUCUGGAGGAACACCGGUGGCGAAGGCGGCAUCCUGGACCGGUAUUGACGCUGAGGCGCGAAAGCCAGGGGAGCAAACGGG
rnacentral:rRNA from 1 species